GACGAACCGUGCGAACGUUGUUCGGAAUCACUGGGCAUAAAGGGCGCGUAGGCGGCCAUUCAAGUCGGGGGUGAAAGCCCCGGGCUUAACCUGGGAAUGGCCGUUGAAACUGGCGAACUGGAGUGUGGCAGAGGGGGGUGGAAUUCCGCGUGUAGCAGUGAAAUGCGUAGAGAUGCGGAGGAACACCGAUGGCGAAGGCAGCCCCCUGGGCUGACGCUGACGCUCAGGCACGAAAGCGUGGGGAGCAAACAGG
rnacentral:rRNA from 1 species